rnacentral:snoRNA from 1 species
ACCCCCCGGCAAUGGGCAAGGAGACACCUGAUUGGUGGUGUUGCUCUUAUAUCAGUCAGGGGCAAAGCAGAUGUACAGUCCUUACAUCCUAGCUUGAUGCCUGUGUUGGUGGCCAGAGCUGUUUCA